GUGGAGUUAGUGGAACCGAAAAAGAUGUCUCCCUCACAGCGUUUUUGACAAAAGAAUUGCAUCGUUCCUUGGUGGCCUUUCAACAGAAGAAUAUUCAGAGAUUUCACGAGUGACCCACACACACAGUCGCACAGACACACACACACUCUCGCUCUCUCUCACACACACAAACACUCACUCACUCUCUCACUCACUCUCUCUCUCUCUCACAACCACACACACACUCUCUCUCUCUCUCUCACACUGUCUCUCUCACAGACUCUCUCUCUCACACACUCACUCUCUCUCUCUCACACACACACAAUCACUCUCUCCCUCUCUCUCACACACACACCCACACUCUCUCUCUCUCACACACUCUGUCUCUCUCUCUCUCUCACACACACACAAACACUCACACACACACACACACACACACACACACACACACACACAGACACACUCUCUCUCUCUCUGAGACACACACACACACACACACACACACACACACACACACACACACACACACACACACACACUCCUCUGGAUUAUUCCUGGUGUCGCAUGCUGAGAAGGCAAGAAAAAGGGGAAGAAAACAGAUGAAUGCUUUGCUCAAGUGUUCGUGUUCGGGGAAGGAUUCAGACUCCCAGAUCUGAAGGAAAAUUUGCGGGCAUGGUGUAUCCUCUUCAAGUGGGCUGGUCUGCAGCUGAACCGGAAAGGAGCCAAAAUCUUUGCACAAGGGUUUGCUAAUGUUGUGAGGAAUUUCGGCUAUGGACCUCCGAGCAGUGGGCAUUUUCAGUUCGACCAAAAGGAAAAAAAGUAUUGAGGGAUAUGGACCAAAGGCAAUAUGGAGGUAAGAAGGGGGAGCAAUCAAUGGGAUGGUUUGACUGCAUUGCUGUCGUUUUUCGAUAGUGUUGUCGGAGUCGCACUCGUUCAGCUGAGUGAAGAGUAUUUCAUUGACACCCGGAUUUGGAGUUUAUCGGCAGU